rnacentral:rRNA from 1 species
GUGCCAGCCGCCGCGGUAAUACGGAGGAUCCGAGCGUUAUCCGGAUUUAUUGGGUUUAAAGGGAGCGUAGAUGGGUUGUUAAGUCAGUUGUGAAAGUUUGCGGCUCAACCGUAAAAUUGCAAUUGAUACUGGCAGUCUUGAGUACAGUUGAGGUAGGCGGAAUUCGUGGUGUAGCGGUGAAAUGCUUAGAUAUCACGAAGAACUCCGAUUGCGAAGGCAGCUUACUAACCUGUAACUGACAUUGAUGCUCGAAAGUGUGGGUAUCAAACAGGAUUAGAAACCCGGGUAGUCC